GGAGAGGUGCCCGGAGUGGUUGAUCGGGGACCGGUGAGCGUUGGCUCGAGGUCGGGCUCGUAGGGGCCCACGCAGGUUCGAAUCCUGCCCUCUCCG
rnacentral:tRNA from 1 species